rnacentral:rRNA from 1 species
CAAUAGCGUAUAUUUAAGUUGUUGCAGUUAAAAAGCUCGUAGUUGGAUUUCGGUUAAGAGCGACCGGUCCGCCGUUUGGUGUGCACUGGUUGGUUUUAACUUCCUGUAGAGGACGUGCUCUGGGUUUAACGACCUGGACUCGGAGUCUACGUGGUUACUUUGAAAAAAUUAGAGUGUUCAAAGCGGGCUUACGCUUGAAUAUUUCAGCAUGGAAUAACACUAUAGGACUCCUGUCCUAUUUCGUUGGUCUCGGGACGGGAGUAAUGAUUAAGUGGAACAGUUGGGGGCAUUCGUAUUUCAUUGUCAGAGGUGAAAUUCUUGGAUUUAUGAAAGACGAACUUCUGCGAAAGCAUUUGCCAAGGAUGUUUUCAUUAA